UAAAGGACGCAAUAGAACAGCUACUUGACCCAAACGGCUCUUUUCAGAGCCACUUAAUUUGUCACAGAAAGUGGCUGUAAACACCUGCUUGAAGAUUGGCUUUUGGUUAGGCAGGGUGGGCCUGUAAACUCGAGAACAUUUGGGUUUGGGGCUAGGUUGGGACCGUGGUAAAGAUUACCGGGGCUCUUAAAAUCUGGAGCCUGCGUGUGGUGGUGUCCCCUAGUGGCACGACUCUUACUGGUAAGGAAAAACUAGUUGCCAAAAUGGUCUCUACCUUGUUCUACGGAGUUCGCGAUGGAAGCUUAGAUACAGGCAUUUUCCUGCCCUUUCGGAAGAAAUGGUCUUCAAAGUCACAGCCAGACUCCAGAGCUGAUUCCCCAGAGAUCAAAAUUAUCUCCUGACCAAGAACCACAUUUGGAGAAUUUAUUUUUUCAAAAUGUGUAAACCAAUUAUUUUGAGUCUUUCUUAGACAUAUUCUGUCUCCAUUAACUCGCUCAUCGUGUUUGGGAAACUUCUCCUUUAACACAUGGUCCCUCUUCACAAUUUAUUUUCUUUUUAAAGAUUUUAAUUAUUUAUUUGUGAGAGAGAGAGAGAGAGAGAGAGAGAACACACGUGCACACAAGCCCAGGCAGGCAGAGGUGGAGGAAGAAACAGGCUUCCAGCUGAGCAAGGAGCCCAAUGUGGGACUCUAUCCCAGGACUCUGGGAUCAUAACCUAAGCCGAAGUCAGGUGCUUAACUGACUGAGCCACUCAGGCAUCCCUUCACAACUUAUUCUUAAGUGGAGGAGGUAAGGAGUAACAUGUACUUUAUGUGGUAUGGAGAUGAAAUGGGGAAGGCAGAAAGAUGAGCUUCUCACCCUCUAGGGAUUUGGACCCUACAAUUAGAAACAAACCUAGAAAUAAGGAAUAAAGUAAGGACAGCAAACAAUUUUAUUGGCUCCUAUUUGACUGCCAGUGUGCGUUCAAAGGAAGUCUAUACCUAAAAGACCUUUGGAGGUCCAGAUUUUCAACUGACUAGAAUUUUUUUUUUUAACAUCCUGUUUCCCAUUGCCAAGCUUAAUAGACAGUUCUCUUAGGGUCUUUCAGUUUUUAAAUUAUCCUAACAAUGAGAUUGGUAAUAAUCAUUUCUUAAGAUUUUAACAAUACUGUUUAUAAUAACUUACAAAAAAACCACCUUGGAACAAAUCUAAUGGAAAGAUGAACAAAACUUCUAGGGAGAAAAUCAUAACAUUUUUGAGAGAGAUUAGCAAGGAUAUAAAUAAAUGGAGAGUUAUACCAUGUUCAUGAAUUGGAAAGUCAGGUAUGUAUACAUAUGUAUGUAUAUGUAUGUAUACAAUGAUGUCCGUAUCCCUCCUUCACUCUCACUCCCCAAAUCUACAUAGUUAAUGCAAUCCCACUCCAAAUCCAGUAGUCUUCUCAGGAGAAUUUGACAUAGUUUAUUACUGGGUUUGUUUGAGGCCUUUCUUCUUUUCUGUUUUUCUAUUUCACUAGCUAUUCCUUGUCAACAUCCUCUGUUGCCAAUGCUUUUAUACAACCUUUAAAAUUUGGUGCAUCCCAGGGUUCAGCCUUAGAUCCUUUUCUGUUCUCUAUCUGUGCUUUCCGCUUACAUUGUCUCUUCUAAUCCCAUGGCUCUAAAUGCCAUAUAUAUAUAUAUAUAUAUAUAUAUAUGAUGAUUCUCAAAUUUUUUUUAAUAUUUUAUUUAUUUAUUUGACAGAGAGAGAUCACAAGCAGGCAGAGAGGCAGGCAGAGGGAGAGGAGGAAGCAGGCUCCCCGCUGAGCAGAGAGCCCAAUGCGGGACUCUAUCCCAGGACUCUGAGAUCAUGACCCGAGCCGAAGGCAGCAGCCCAACCCACUGAGCCACCCAGGCGCCCCUGAUUCUCAAAUUUUAUCUCUACUUCAAAGUUGUUCUCUGAACUCCACUGCUUUUUCAACAGUUAAACAGGAAUCUUGAUAUGUCCAAUACAAAACUUUUGCUUCUUGCUACUCCUCUCUCCUGUUACACCAACUUGCUCUUUCGUAGUUCCUGGUCCCAGUCAGUGGAAUGAGUUUAUUGCUCAGGCCCAAAUCUAGAAGUUGUUUCUGGUUCCCUUUUUCCCCACAUUCACUACAUCUAAUCAAAUCAGCACGUGUUCUGGGCACUUCUAAACACCUCCGCUGCUCCCUCUAAGUCCAAACUACCAUUGUCUGUCACCUGGAUUCCUAAUUGGUUUCCAUGCUUCCAUUGUUGUCCAACCCUUGCUGCCCAUGGGCUCUGUCUCCAACUGGCCUGGUGGCAGUGAGGACUGCUGGUCCCCUUCCAGCCAACUGCCAGCUAUGCCUCCAUUCCAUCUGGUUUUCAGGUCUGGCUAUCUUUGGCUUCUGGGGUGGAGGUGGGGUGAUUCCUAAAUCCAGAGGCUCUAGGGUUUCUCCCAACUGUGCGGUAGCCAGGAAAGACCUAGAAUAGACCCAACUCUUCCCACUUUACCCCAAACCAGUCCAUAUGCCCUGAGGUUUCCUUCUCAGGCUAGUAACACAAAUGGGCCUGAACUCCUUUAGAACCUGGAAUGAGUUUAGGGCUUUCCCUUUGGAGCCUGGAAGAUGAAAAACUGAACCACCCUUCUCAUAGCCAAUUGCCUGUUCUGCUGUGAUUGUCUCCUCUGGGAUGUUGUGCUUAGUUCUGCAAGCCCUAGAGAUUACAGAAUGUGCCCGAGCGCCGUGAUAGGUCCAGCAGGUUUUUGGGUAUUGUCCCUGAGGAGUCUCAAAGCUAUGAAAGAACAUCCUCCCUCCCUCCCUCCCUCAGCAUCUACCACCCUCCUCCCUGCCACCUGCACUAAUCCCUCCGGGGCCUUGUACUCAGUCCUGGAAGCUCUGAUCACCCGGGAUAGGACCGGCUUUGGGAGAAGCCACGUGAUAUCCGAAGGCAUUUCAGAGCGGCCCCUGAAGAGCCUACGGGCUCCCUGCCCACUGCCCAGCUGGUUCUGCAGGCCCGGGGCCCCUUCCUGGCUCUGAUGGUGGUGGAACCGGUAGGGAAGUCAUCUGUGUUUGAAUGAACUGCCGUCAUUCACUCCUAACCUGCUCCUUCCCCGCGGCCGUCUCCUCCAGCCACCUUUCCACUGGGUCUCCCGGCAGGUCAGCGCCCGUCCCCUUCCGUGGUCUCCCAGUCAUAGUCCUCCUCUCCGUGGGGUGGCGCCACCGCCGGGUCUGCGAGCAGGAGGGUCGGCCCCGGGCCGGCCUAGAGACGGAUUUUUCAGCUCCGUACUUCCGGGAGGCUGCCCGCGAACCCGCACUUUUUGGUUUCCCGCCGUACUUCCUGCGGCUGGAGACCGGGCGCAGUGGGGAAUCGGGCUGUCACAUUUGCCACCCCCGAACUGGUAACUACUUCGGAGUUUGGGAGGCCGCCCACGAAUUGGGUGCUUUUCUGGGUACUGGGACGAAUGGGACACGCACGACUGCUUACUCUCCUCUCCCCAUCGGCCGCCGCGGCCGCCGACACAUCCCAAAGGCCGUUUCUCGCAGCUGCAGGCUCUGGGGAAGAUGUCUCACCGGGUUUGGGGGAAGAUUGCGAAGAGCGGGAGGCGAGCUAAGGUGGCAGUGUGCACGGGUGGCCACAGGGUGGAGCCAGCGGCCCGCUGCGAGACUUUUUCGGCGCACAAGUUCUCCGGGCAGUGCCACAAACCGCCUAGGUCUUUUGAUCCAGGAACUGGUUGUAGCCAUUAAUUAAACAUAGAGCUUAAAAGAGUGUAUUCGUGACCGCGAAAAGCUGAAUGCAGUAGAAUCUACUAACCGUGCCAGUUAGGAACAGAGAAAUGGUUGAUGAGCAUAUUUGCAGCCAAGUAAAAAUGUGACCACGGAUUUACAGUACCAGUACUUUUUUUUUUUUUUUUUUGAAAAAUUAACGAAAAAUUCUUCUAAAUUGCUCAAGAAAGUUAAGAACACCAAUUUACUUCCUGUACAUUCCUUUUACUUGGAGGUGUAAUGUUGAUCUGUUAGAGGUAAAAGAAGUUUCAUCUCUCUUUUUGAAAUCAGGCAGAAUACGCAAGUGAGAAACACUGAAUCAUGGGUGAAUGAGUUGUCAAUUCCUUCCUUUCCUUUACUUGGAAUACUAAAAAUGCAGGGAGACUGCUCUUGGAAACCAGGUGAUAAUUCCUAGCAUGCUUUUCAUAGAUCUUAAAUACUCCAUGUUAGCAUUUAUGCUUUUUUACAGUAUUUCCAGCUUCUUGCCUUAUGCUUUCUUUAGGAUUUUACAUCCUCUUUGUGGUUGAAUGGAGUUAGAUUAACUAGGUCUGACCAGUAAGGUGGAAGUGGUGUGUGUCACUUCUGGGCUGGAGAAUUUAAUUCCUGGUUUGGGAUGCUCCAUGCUCUCUCAGCUCUGACACAACUGCUGGCAGUGUUCCCCAAAGUGCCACCUUAACAGCCUUCUCAUUUGCCUCUGGUGUAACAUGAAUGAAUGAUAAACCUCUGUUGGUUUAAGGUGCUGAGAUUAAGGAGUUGCUUGUUACCUUAACAAACCCUGGCCUCCUCUUACACAGCCUAAUUCAUAGAUGAAUGGGUCAGGUGUAGAGCAUGUUUGUUGCCUAGAUAAGAUGCGGUUAUUAAUAUUUCUUAACACUCUUUACCUUGUUCUCAGGACUCUCCCUCAAGAGCCAGGCUGUUUUUGUUGUGGUGGUGGUUGUGUUUUUUUGUUUUAAAUAAUAAUAAGACGCAAGGUCUUUAAACGAAAGUUGUCAUAAAUUCUGCUUUACCUGUCUUUACAAUAUACCAGGAUUCAGAACAUCUCAGCAUGGGCCAGAAUAUUUAUUUCUAAUUCCUAGCGUUGCCCUUAAUGCCCAUAAAUAUGAGACACAAAAACUACUACCUGUUUUGUCUCUGGUACACAGAAAUUUUUUUAUCCUCAGGGCAAUAAAUCAUGAUUAGUAUGAGUAAGAGGUAUGCCUUUCUUUUGCAGCCUGGGUGAAGGGUGAGUAGGUAGAAAAGCAAAACUGGGGGUGCCUGGGUGGUUCAGUGGGUUAAGCCUCUGCCUUCGGCUCAGGUCGUGAUCCUGGGGUCCUGGGAUCGAGCCCCGCCAUCAGGCUCUCUGUUUGGCAGGGAGCCUGCUUCCCUUCCUCCCUCUGCCUGCCUCUCGGCCUACUUGUGAUCUCUCUCUGUUAAAUAAAUAAAUAAAAUUUAAAAAAAAAAAAGAAAGAAAAGCAAAACUGGCUUAAAAAACAUUUACAGUGACUGUGUUCUUAGGCACAUAGUAUAGUGUUCUCUUUUAAAAAUAUGGACGUCUUUAGAAGUGUUAUUGGGACAAAUGGGUUUUAUAAGACUCCAAAGACUUUAUAAAUUUUGCAGUGGCGUACAAAGCACUCAGACUGAAUCCUGGGAGCAGAUGUUGGAUAGAGUUUGAGGCGCAAGAUGUUUUUUAAGGAUGAACCCCUAUAAAAGGAAGAGUGAAGAGGUAAGAGUGGGCAGUGGAAAAAUCAGAGUGCAACGAAAGCCUGCUAGAGCCUUGACCAUCCCGCUGAGGAGCUCUGGAGCAAAUACUGCUCACAAGCAUGGCCUGCUUUGGGCUGAAAUGUCCUGUUCCGUUCAGGCAAGACAUGCUGGGUACUCUGGGAAGGAUAUGACUUUGGAAGAGCUGUGGGGGGUCUCAGCAGAUAACAGUUUGCCUUCUGCUGGGUUUUGCAAUUCUUUCCCUUCUCUCCCUUUGGGCCACUUGCUCCCCACUUGGAUCCAGUCAUUUCUCUGUGUGUUUCCAGUACUGGAUGGAAUGAAAACAGUGAGCUCUUACCUAGGUAGGGACAAGUGUCAGGGACAGGGAACCCAACCACUGUAGGGAAACUGGAGGGCUGGGCACCCACCUGGACAAAAUAUGAGGUGGUGUACCAGGCCUUGACCAGACCGAGCACCAAGGCUGGGAGAACCAGCAGGUAGGCAUCAAUUUGCGGGACUCCCAACAACCUAUUCCUGUCACAGCUACAUGCCAGAAGUAACGGUAGACUGAAGUGCAAAUUGUUCAAAUGUUAGAGUAGGCAGUUAGGUUCUAACAGGAUACCUGGAGGCCAGCAAAGAGGAAGUCAUGGCUAGGAUUGUGAAUGUCAGAGGCCUGUCCCCACAGAGCCCGAUGAGGGGCUCGAUUUGAGGACCCUGAGAUCACGACCUGAGCUGAAAUUAACCAUCUGAGCCCUGAGACCAGUAUUAUCUUGAAGUUAGUUAGUAAUCAUCCAGAAAAUCAGAAGGGCAGAGUAAAUCUCUGGAGGUAAGAGCUGGUGCUUCAUGACAUCACUACCCCUCUCCAGCUGAAGCCCCUUGCCCCUCUCCCUGCUAGGAGGUCUGGGUAUAAUUUAUUAAGAAAGCCUCGGUUACAUGGUCUUCCUGUGGGGUGGGGGAGUGGGACAGGCAAGCAGGACUCCUGGUAUCUCUGGACACAGAGAUGUUAUGAGAAAGUCUCAUAGGAAAGGGCAGAAGUCAUACCCCCAUCUGCCCUAGUCAGCAUCUGCUGUGUUCUCUGCAAGCUGUGUGGAUCUUCCCCGGCUUGUGUGCUGGAGAGAGAAGACACCAGAUAACCACGUGGACUCCAGGAAUGGGUGAGUGCUCCACCCAUAGUCUCUGAGGAGCCGAAGGAAAGGAGCAAGUUUCCUUUCCUUCUUUUGGGUCUGCGUGCUUUUCUCGUCUCCCUGAUCCAUUCUCUCUUUAUCUGCCUCCUUGUAACUCUCAGUCUGUCUCUUUCUCUGUCUUAAUCUCUUGUACAUAGGCACACACUUACCUUUUCACCCUGUCCCUAAAAAUAAUAAUAUUGUUCAAGCUACCUAGUAGGAUAAUCAGGUUAGACUGGACUUCCAAGUUUUUAAAGAUUUCUUUAAAGUAGGUCCCACUUCAAAUCAUCCCUGAUGACCCAUUUUCCAAGUUUAUCUCCACUUAAGUCAGCUCAUUGUUUAUUUUAUUUCAGAGUUAAUCAGAUGUCAUGAGAGUCACAGUUUUGAUGUCUUUAAACUUUGGAAUGGUUGCACCCCAGUGCUUGCACAGAGAAGAAGGGGAGGGACUGUCUGGGUCCGUGGGCACCGGCUGGGCCACUGCUACGGCCCUCCUUCCAGGGGCUUCUGGUAUGUCCUUUCUUGCAGUGCUCUUGUUCAUGACAUUAUGGCUCUUCUAAAUACCUCUCUUCUUGAAGGCAGGAAUUUACUCUUUUCUUUUGACCGGAGUCCAAAGAGACUUCUAAAUUGUACUUUUUCUUUCUUUCCAGUUCCUUACAUAUAAUCACACAGAAAAUGGUGUCCACCAAAAACAGUAUUCCCACUGCCAGAUAGAAAAGAACGUGAAACCAAACAGGAGGUUGUGUCUGGAGACCUGAAAAAGUGACAAGGGGAAGAAAUGCUAGUUAGAAUGCAAAGUGAUCUGGCUGAGUUAUGUCUGGGAAGGAAGCCUGGCUGACACCUGGUAUGCCGGUCCCCAGCAGAGACACAGCUGACUGGCCUGAGAGCCUCCCACUGGCCUUGAAGAAGUGAGCUACUCUGCUGGGAGGGGCCAAAUGGCAGGGGCCUGCCUCCAGGAGUCAAGACUGGCCUCCAGCUCACAGCCAGCAAAAAGUCUAGGACCUCAGGCCAACUACAUAAGGAAGUGAAUUCUCAAGUCUACCAAUGACCACGUGCGCUUGGAAGAACUAUAGGAAGGAAGCUGUCAUACCCUGAUUGCGCCCCCUUCGGAGCACCCGGUGAAGCUGUGCAGAGACUCCUGACUCAUGGAAAGACAACAAAUGUUGUUUUAAGCUGUUGUGUUUGUGAUAAUUUGUUACACAGCAAUAGAAGAAAUGAAUACACUCCAA